GCGUGAGUGAUGAAGGCCUUAGGGUUGUAAAGCUCUUUCAGCAGGGAAGAUAAUGACGGUACCUGCAGAAGAAGCCCCGGCUAACUCCGUGCCAGCAGCCGCGGUAAUACGGAGGGGGCUAGCGUUGUUCGGAUUUACUGGGCGUAAAGCGCGCGUAGGCGGCUUGCCAAGUUGGAGGUGAAAGCCCAGGGCUCAACCCUGGAACUGCCUUCAAAACUGGCUCGCUUGAGUCCGGGAGAGGUGAGUGGAAUUCCCAGUGUAGAGGUGAAAUUCGU
rnacentral:rRNA from 1 species